AUGCCUUCUCAUACUCUCCCUGAAACCACAACAGCAUCAUUGUGUCACUCGUAUUCAACACACACAAGAAACUCAGAAGAAUACAUAAACACAGAAAAAUUUCAGAGAGAAAUCACAACCAAAACUCUGCAAACUCGCCCCUCCAACUUGUUCCAUCCCACAACCUUACCACUACUAAUAGAAAAAUUCCUUCUAAAACCUCUACUAACAAAACUUUAG